CGGGGCGUGGCUCAGCUUGGUUUAGAGUGCCUGCCUUGGGAGCAGGAGGUCGCUGGUUCGAAUCCAGUCGCCCCGA
rnacentral:tRNA from 1 species